rnacentral:piRNA from 1 species
UAGGUGACAGCUACACUAAGGACAGUGCAU